UAUGUCAAAACUAUAUUUUAUGUAAAAUCCCUAUUACCUAAACUAUUUUCCUAUUCCCAAAUUUUGCAUAGAACUAAUGUAAAAAAUAGACUCGAAUACAGGACUACAAUCCCCACAAGCCUUUGCUCCACUUCCCCAAAAUGCUUUGUAAUCUCAUGGGAAUUCUGAGGUGGACUGAGAUCAAGGAAGGAUUUAAACUGGUGGCAAAGGUUUUUGGGUCUCUUUUUGGACUUCCAUUUUGGAGCAGGGGCGUCUCUUCCAUGAUAUUAUAUGUGAAUAUACAUAACUUCCAGUGUGUCUGCUCCAUUGCAGUUUUUCCACUUUUUGAAGAGAGAAGACUGACUAGGAAACUUUUCUCUUUCCAGAACGAGGCUUGCUAUGUUAUUCCUUCUUUUCUCUUCUGAAAAGUAAAAGUUGAGGGAGAUCUCAACUGAAAUCCCAGCCAGAAUCUUCUGUCUUCUCAAGAUACCAGACCUCUUGGGACCCCUCCCCUGUCGAGGUGAGCAGAUCCACAAAAACUCUUCAGCCUUGCACUUUUCCUAUGUGCAAACCCUCUGUCACACUAAGAAAGACUGAUGAUGAAGCAUGCCUACCACCUCUUGGUGAAGAAGUAAUGCACUAGAGAUGUCGAAUAAAACCCACAUUUCCAGACA
rnacentral:lncRNA from 1 species